AAAAAAGAAGAACUCAGAGAGCUCUGGUUUUACACUUUAAGCUUUACAUCAUGCAGUGUCAGAGCUAAGUAAAUGGCUAAGAUUGUUGGAGAUUGGAUUGGCUAAGUGUUGGAGAACCUUGUCCUUUUUUCAUUGAAAACACAGCCAUGAUUUAGCGACCUCCUCACAAUCCCUAAGUAGCAUUUCCACAAGAACAAAGAAGUUUUGCUGCAGCAGUCAUCAUCUCCAGUCACACCUACGUAAACAACGACAGCAUGAGACAACGGCUUUGAAUUUACUGAAAUGCAUCCAUAACUAGAUGAUUCAUCCCCGAAGACAUGCAGACAAUGUUAAUUAUGCAGUUAGAAUCUACUUGUUCUUCACCUCUUUUUCUUACAAUCUAGCAACUAUUAAAUUUCAAAAAUAAUACAGUUCGGAUUUUGAUACCAACAAAAAAUAAGACAGUUAGAAACUGCCACUCUAAGUGCCAUGUUCCUCUUUUAGUCAGUUCUCUGUAUUUGUUGGUUAAGUCCAGGCUGCCUACAAUUAUCAUUUCCACAAACAUCACAAUUAAGCCUCAGAUGAAGAGUCCUUUGUUCUUACAACAGAAACACCACAUCCUCACCACUUUGUUAGUGAUUCAUAGGAAAGAAACUGUGAUUGUUUAGAAAAAAAUGCAGACAUCCAAAGGACAUUAAAACCUUCAGCAUGAGAAGAUUUAAAAGAUCUUAUUAAUUUUUGAUUCACCAUUGGAACUAAUAAAAACUAUUGUCCCUAAAGCCAGAUUGUACACAACGACUGCACUGCAACCACUCUAAUAAGAAUACUUCACCUCCAUGAGCAGUCUUCAAAUACCAUAGCUAAAAGAUGCCACUUAAAAUUUUUUGUAAGGAAGAACUCUAAUCUUGUCCACAGCUAUUGUAUACAUUUAAGAAACUUACCAUAUUUAUUUGUUUUUUUUCAAAGGCCUACCAAUCUCUUUGAGAUUCAACAAGAGAAGCAAUUAUAAUGUAAUUUCCACAUUAGCAAGGCAGACACUUUGAAAUAACAUCUAUUUCAUUUAAAGCAAACUUCAUCAAGCUAUACACAACCAACUGCAUCCUGUGACAGGACAAUUGCAAUUCAUCCAUUUUAUUUGUAGCAACGUAGGUUUGGCCAACAUGUCUGCUUCUAAUUGUUGGUGGGUGGCUUUGCAGGAAGAUUCUGCAUCAUAAACUUUGCAUCAUACAAAAAAUGUACCACCUCACUACAUAACACUGGAUCUAAAAGGAAAAAUGUCCUUAAAACUUGUAACAGGUCCUUGAAUUUGCAGUCAGAAGAAUUGAUGGCCAUUUUUUAUCUUGUGUAACUGCAAAAGCAUUCAAAGGUUUGAAAAAAGUCCAUAGUUAUGCACCUUUCCCCACCUUCUCACACUGCUUCUUAUCAACUUCUACUCACCUUUAAAUUUUUGCUAACUACAGUAUUCUCCUCACAAAGCAAGGAAAAUUUUGCAAACCACUCCAAGGCCCUAGCUACAAAAAGUCAUUAAGAAAGAGGAAGCACCACCUACACAAGCAGUUCUGCUUAGAAACCAUACAAGGAAAGGGUUCCACCUGUAGCUGAGGUCACCUUGCUGAUGAGCAUCUGAGAGAUCUGCUUGGGUGGGCAUCCUCAGUAGGCAGAAAACACAUGCAAAUACAGUACACCAACAAGCUGCAUGGCAUGGUGAAGCUGCCAUAGGUCUCCCUAUUUCCUCUCCAUCCUGUUCUGAGAAUGGCAGCUGUACGUGUAUCCAUCCAUCACACUCUUGCAGACCUACCUAAGGUAUACAGGGGGCACAGGAUAUGUUUGCUAUUGAUUUACAGUCCACUUGGACCACAGUCUACUACUGCUGCCUAGUAAAGUCUCAUUGGAAAAAUGACACUUAAAGAUCGCUAAUUGAGUUGAAGCAUCCAGUUCAGUUUCACUUGCUUGACUUUAAAACAUCUCUGCACUGAUCCCUCUUUUAGCACGCUGUAUUUUUAUGAAAGUUUCAUAUGUUUAAGUGCAUUACAAGAUCAAAAUGUAAAUUGUUCAAAUUUUUCAUUGUUUGCCUUUUUUGUUCAGGUUUUUUUGGGGGAAUUUUUUUUUGUUUUUUAGUUUCUUUUUCUCAAUUUCUCUAACACAUUUAUCAAAUGUCUUUUCUAUCUCACUCCCAACAAUUCUCAAGGCAUUUUUCCUCUUGUUAUAACCUGAACAUGUGUAAAGAUUUUCCCAUCUCCCACCAGUGUGCAUCUGUAGAGUUUAAAAGAUGUCACUUGACACCAGUGACCAAGGCAGCAUUUGUUCCAAUUUCAAUCACCACCACAACUCGGUGCCACCCCCAGACUGCACAAAGUCCACUCCCCAGGCUGGAGUACAAGGCAGAGUUCAGCCUGAGCACUCCCAUUUCCACUGCAGUUCCUGAGGCAGAAGUGGGAGAAUAAACAGGCACCAGGGCUCUUCCU